AGUGAACGCUGGCGGUAGGCCUAACACAUGCAAGUCGAACGGCAGCACAGUAAGAGCUUGCUCUUACGGGUGGCGGGUGGCGGACGGGUGAGGAAUACAUCGGAAUCUACUUUUUCGUGGGGGAUAACGUAGGGAAACUUACGCUAAUACCGCAUACGACCUACGGGUGAAAGCAGGGGAUCUUCGGACCUUGCGCGAUUGAACGAGCCGAUGUCGGAUUAGCUAGUUGGCGGGGUAAAGGCCCACCAAGGCGACGAUCCGUAGCUGGUCUGAGAGGAUGAUCAGCCACACUGGAACUGAGACACGGUCCAGACUCCUACGGGAGGCAGCAGUGGGGAAUAUUGGACAAUGGGCGCAAGCCUGAUCCAGCCAUACCGCGUGGGUGAAGAAGGCCUUCGGGUUGUAAAGCCCUUUUGUUGGGAAAGAAAAGCAGCAGGUUAAUACCCCGCUGUUCUGACGGUACCCAAAGAAUAAGCACCGGCUAACUUCGUG
rnacentral:rRNA from 1 species